UACGUAGGGUGCGAGCGUUGUCCGGAAUUACUGGGCGUAAAGAGCUCGUAGGUGGUUUGUCGCGUUGUCCGUGAAAACUCACAACUCAAUUGUGGGCGUGCGGGCGAUACGGGCAGACUGGAGUACUGCAGGGGAGACUGGAAUUCCUGGUGUAGCGGUGGAAUGCGCAGAUAUCAGGAGGAACACCGGUGGCGAAGGCGGGUCUCUGGGCCGAUACUGACGCUGAGGAGCGAAAGCAUGGGUAGCGAACAGG
rnacentral:rRNA from 1 species